rnacentral:misc_RNA from 1 species
UCAUUGGAAGGCGUUGUCCUGCUCCUUAGAUGAUGAAUUUUGUCACGUCACUAGAAUUACAUCCACUUGUAAUUCAGAAGAGGAAAUUAUGUCUGAUGAUGAGAUGAGGCCUUCUACUGAUGGAAAAUUCAAAAGAGAUGGUAAAAGUACAAUGCUUAAAGUAAGUGCAGAUUGCAAAUCAGGAGCUUUCUUCAAUAAAGAUGCUGGGUGUUCAUCGGUAUACGGGGCCUCAUCAAAAUUGAACAGAUCAUCUAAAGGAAGCCCGGGCAAAUCUAAGGCCAAAUUUUUGUUCCAAUCCCGGCCACAGAAGAAAGACUAUGCUUUGGUUGUCCAUGAUAGUUGUGAAACCUGCAUGCCCUUAUCUGUGCUUCCACUAAAUGCAGAAUUAGACAUGCAAAGAAAAAAUAUAGAGUCACUGGAUGACUUAUUGGAGAAUUAUGGUGGAAAUGAAGUACAACAGUUCGAGGAGAAUUUGGUCUCAUCUGAAGUAGCGGUUGUACAUGAUCCAAAUGAGCAUUCCAUGGCUGAGGUUCUGGAUCACUUUCAGCAUACAAGUUCCUCACGAGGCAAUCCUAAAAUGCUGCAAACAAAAAGACCUGGAUCACGGUUCUUAUGGAAGAGAAACUUAUUGCUGCUUGGUGACAGAAACAUGAGCAAUGGCGAACAACCUGAGGAACUAGAUAGUGAUCCAUCUAGUGAUGAGGAUGUAAAUGAAGUUCCCCAGAUUCUGAAGUCUGCUAUACCUCAGAGGACCAUGGCUGACCAAUUUCAUCUAGCGUUAGGAGCUGUAUCCACAAAUGAGAGGCUAUGUAUUGCAAGGCCUAAG